AUGGGUGUAGAGACGGGGUACGUUCCAGGGUGUCUUUAUUGCAGUCAUGCUGCACAGAUGAUCACAUGUCACACCGCCUAUAUUAACCCCCUGAGCUGUACAGGUCGACUGCAACAUGGACGUUCUGUAACGAGCCCACAGUCUAGUCUUAACAGUCAGGUUGACCACUAUAGCCACCGUUGGGGGGCCUCCACCCUGCAGCUCCAGACUCUCUCAGUACUGUCUCUACAGAUGGACGGUCAAGUUGACCACUGUUUUCCCCCCGGUUGGAGGAUUCCUAGAGUCAGGUUGACCACUAUAUCCACCGUUGGCGGGCCUCCACCCUGCAGCUCUCCAGACUCUCAGACUCUCUCAGUACUGUCUCUACAGAUGGACGGUCAAGUUGACCACUAUAGCCACCGUUGGGGGGCCUCCACCCUGCAGCUCUCCAGACUCUCUCAGUACUGUCUCUACAGAUGGACGGUCCAGUUGACCGCUGUUUGGUGUUUUUUUAAAUGUUAUUUUCUUUUAGCAAAACCUUCCUUUGUUAGCAGUAGUUUUAAACAUCUUUAUUGA
rnacentral:lncRNA from 13 species